UGGGGAAUAUUGGACAAUGGGGGGAACCCUGAUCCAGCCAUGCCGCGUGUGUGAAGAAGGCCUUAUGGUUGUAAAGCACUUUAAGCGAGGAGGAGGGUACUGGUAUAAAUACUACCAGCUACUGGACGUUACUCGCAGAAUAAGCACCGGCUAACUCUGUGCCAGCAGCCGCGGUAAUACAGAGGGUGCGAGCGUUAAUCGGAUUUACUGGGCGUAAAGCGUGCGUAGGCGGCUAAUUGAGUCGGAUGUGAAAUCCCCGAGCUUAACUUGGGAAUUGCAUUCGAUACUGGUUAGCUAGAGUGUGGGAGAGGAUGGUAGAAUUCCAGGUGUAGCGGUGAAAUGCGUAGAGAUCUGGAGGAAUACCGAUGGCGAAGGCAGCCAUCUGGCCUAACACUGACGCUGAGGUACGAAAGCAUGGGGAGCAAACAGG
rnacentral:rRNA from 1 species